AGCUUUGCGCAGUAACGAUAUCGUAACCAAAGAGGUUAUACCGAGGUGCGAUUAUUGCUUAUUGCAAAAAAAAUCCUAUUUAAUAGUGUAUCAUGUUUUCUACAAGGAAUUUAGAACACUAUCGCAAGGAAUUUAGAGUC